rnacentral:misc_RNA from 1 species
GAUGAAGAACGUAGUGAAAUGCGAUAGGUAAUGUGAAUUGCAGAAUUCAGUGAAUCAUCGAAUCUUUGAACGCACAUUGCGCCCCCUGGUAUUCCGGGGGGCAUGCCUGUUCGAGCGUCAUUUCACCACUCAAGCCUCGCUUGGUAUUGGGCAACGCGGUCCGCCGCGUGCCUCAAAUCGAUCGGCUGGGUCUUCUGUCCCCUAAGCGUUGUGGAAACUAUUCGCUAAAGGGUGUUCGGGAGGCUACGCCGUAAAACAACCCCAUUUCUAAGGUUGACCUCGGAUCAGGUAGGGAUACCCGCUGAACUUAAGCAUAUCAAUAAGCGGAGGA